CUAGUAAGUAAUCGAUUUUAGUUCUAUGAUGAUUUAUGAUGACCAUGCACUUGCCCACGUUGUGCCUUUAGCUUGUGCCAUGCACAUUUUCUCUGAACCACAUAUUAAGAAUUAAAAGGCCUAAAGGGAUGGCAAUGCACUUGUUUUAGAAGGCGAUCACCGGUGAAUUUCAUAAUAUAAUCUGAACUACUUAUAUACUAGGAAAAACUUUGAUUACUUAGACCCAUAAAUCCAGAAAACCAUGGUCCUCAGCCCAUGUGAUUUCAAUCAUCAUGAUCUGAUAGCCUACUGGCUCAUAACUUGGUUUAUACAUGACUUAUGCUUAUAGUAAGCCCAUCUAGUCCUAAAUGCCCAUCGAUCUUCUGUCGUUGUAGGACUAUGGGAAUAUCACAUAUGACAUAGGAAUAUCAGGAUCUUCUGCUGUGGUAGAAUUUUACGACAAUCUUAGUGUCAAUCACCAGAUCACAACUUUUAUUUUUCUCCAAUAAUACAGACUAUUGAAUCUUGUUGAUUAUUAAUUUCUUUGAUA
rnacentral:lncRNA from 1 species